CGUGCCUCCCAUUUAGAGCACAUGUGCAUCCUGAUCACAUAAGUGGGAGGUCACGUGAUCAUGACGGUCUGCAGACAGCCUCUCAACAACAACACAUGACUGCACAACGGCAAAGACCUUUGACUAUUGUUUUGAAAUGCAUGUCAAGUCAGCAUCAUUUUAAAAUAAGUUCUUUAAAUGAAUCAGAGGAAGGCUGAGAGACGAAGGGAGGGGGUGGGAAAUGUAGAGGAAUAGAAAGGAGAGAACAACGUGUUUGUUCAUUUAAGAGGUUCUGUUUACUUGAUCUACUUGAUCGCUCUCCCCACUCACACAGCUGACAUGGAUCACCAAUUCACCAUCCAUCUACCUACCUAUCUACCUACCUACCUGACUGUCUGACUGCUUGCCUGCCCUGCCUGCCCGACUGCCUCCUUGUUUGUCUGCCUGCUCAUUCCCUUCGUCUACCGUCCUUCUCAGCUCAGCUCUCUCCUCCACCAGGGUCUCCCCAUCUCCUGCCUUGUCUGCCAUUCUCCUUCCAAUUGACGAUAAAUCCCUUUUAGGAAGAAUUCCCUGAAUUCUGACUUCACAAACGAAUUGAACUGGGGAAUGCAGCUUCUAGCAGCAGGCCCUCUUGCUGUGGAUAUUGUUGCAGCAGCAGAGAAUGUGUCAGAGCGCAGAAAAUGCUAUGGCAACAAGUCAGGCUUAAAACAUUUGCUCAGCCUACCUAUCUCUCGUACGUUUCCUCUUUCUCACUUUCCCCUGUUUUUGCUCUCUAUCCUUUAGUCUAUCACACACACACACACACACACACACACACACACACACACACACACACACACACACACACACACACACACACACACACACACACACACACAAUUAAGGCCUAACAUUUCUUUGGUCCAUGUCAUGGCCUUGUCAUGGUUUGUUUAUUUGGUUUGGGUGCUGUGUCAGUGUGUGUACUGUGUACUGUGCGUGAUUCUGCAGUUGUUGACUUUAUGCUCGGUGUGCGUGUUUGUGCAUGCGCUGGCCAUGAUCAAUGAGAAACAAGAUAAAGGGAACGGUGGUGUCUGGCUCCCCAAUCUA